UAUCUGUGCUGUUAGGAAGUUAGCGGUGCCAUGUCAAACCUGGCACGUGAGCUGAAACUGUUAGCAGCUUUGGAUCAGACCUGCCAGAUGCAAGCUUCACAGCCUUUCAGGUUAUUGUCUGGGUGCUGGUGACAAUGCCCCAGAUCAGGCUGCUGGAGCUGUCUGCUUUUGAGAUGUGGAUAAAGGAGGAAGGGAUCAACUAUGGCUACAGAGAGCUUCAUCUGCACUGGCAAGAGAGAUCUUCAUCUGCAUCAGAUCUUGGUUACUUGGGCAGGAGCUGGGUCACAGACCUUGUCCAAGAGUCCUGGCACCCUGCAAGUAGCAGAUGGGCCUGUGAAAGCCAGAGGAAAGGCUUUCAGUGGCAAAGCAGACCUCAGCAGUUGGGAAUGGUGGUGAAAUGAAGUAAAUGAUGAAGAGACUGACGGCAGAGACACCCUUCCUGACAGAACUCCACACCUACAGCAACACAUCAUCUGUAAUGGAAAUCCCCCUUAAGCAGCACACAGACACCCACUGAUGCCUGGCACAGCAAAGAGAGUGAUGGAAAAACAGACUCCCUCUGUGAAGAGCAUUGUGACCCGAGGAUAAAUGAAGAGAAGGAGCAGCCAUGUCUGUCGUCGGCAUCCCGAGGAGUCCUGGCACGGUCACAAGCUGAGCAUGGCACAUUUGGUUCUGGGACAUCUGGUCUGCAUUUUCCACAGUGCACAUCUGCUGCUGCAGAAGUCACAGCCUCUCCUCGCUCCUUUGCUUGUAGCCCUGUGGCUGACACUGUUACUUCUCAGAAGCCCGCAGCACUCCAGAAGAAAACUAAUGGGGCCCAAAGACAAUAAAGGCACAAACCAACCACGCUGUCAUGCAAACACCCAGCAGCAGGCCCUCAGCCUUAAACACACGUAUGGAGAUCUCAACUAAUCAUAAACAGCCCAAGUGUCACCCAAGGAAACAGCCUCAGGGUGGAGCAAGCAGGGGCUGGAACUGGUGCUUAGUUUAGGCUGCAGAAAGGAGUUGAUUAAAGCUAAUGGAAAUUUUCCACUUCAGUGAGAACUUCCUUCAAAGAUCAGUUUUUUGGCUAAAUAGUGCCUCCAUCCCGGCACCUCUUGGUACCAACAUAUCGAGCCCAUAGACAGCUUGAAAAUGAGGCUGCUUCAGCAAGUCUUGCCCCCCCCCUCUUUCUUCCAGUCAAAUGUGCCUUUGGGACUGGAGAACACCUUGGCGAGGGAUAAGACUCAGUUCAAUCUGUCAAACUUAACCUCCCCUAGCCGGGCCCCUGGCGCAUACGUUCAUGGUCAGUAGGGUUUGGAAGGGCUUUUCCAAUGCCAAAGAAAACAUGAGCUAAAAAAGGACAGUUUGUGUGGCUGACUCGUCUGACCUUCAUGAACAGUGGCUGCGUGAGCUGCUCAGAGGGGACGCCCACCACACACCAGCCUGUGCUCCGGGAUACCUAAGAAAAUCUGUUCCCGUGACGUGGUGGAUGCUCGCCUGAGGGACCGGCAGAGACUGCAAGCCAAGAGCAGUAUGCAGAGCAGAGCAGCCCUGAGCCAUGGAGAAACACAGAGUGCUCCACGCACGAGAGCCAGCACAGCUGCUGGAACCAUAAGUGACAUUCUGCAUCCCUGGGGGUGUGUCUGUACCGGAGGAUGCAGUUCUGCACACCCUUUGUGGUGCACUGGUGACACCACCUGCACAGGAUGCUGAUGGCAGCCUGAGGGGAUCCUACAGCCUGAUGAGGAGCUGUGGAAUGUAUCAAGGCAUUUUCUCAAGUUAUAGGUGGCUGAGCCCUCAGGAAUGAAGUGACCUCUGUCACUGUGGCACAAAGAAGGCUUGGGAAUGCCAGGAUUUUCAUAUCAGAUGGAGGAGGCUUCUUUCAGCAUUUACAUAGGAACAGAGCGUGCUACUGAACCGAGAAUUUGGAAUCAGAGAGGCAGAACACCGUGAAAAAGACCAUAAAGUAAACCUCCUUCUCUUUUAAAAUG